rnacentral:lncRNA from 13 species
AUGGACAUUCAUGUGACUGUGGAGCCAUGGUCUGGAGUAGAGAGGGAGUUUUGCUCUUGUUGCUUAGGCUGGAGUGUAGCCUCAGCUCACCUCUCAGCUCACCUCUCAGCUCACUGUAACCUCUGCCUCCUGUGUUCAAGUGAUUCUCCUGGCUCAGCCUCCCAAGUAGCUGGGAUUACAGUGAAUGGAUGCACCACAAUUUAUUUAUACAUCUAUCUAUUGAAAGACAUCAGCAUUGCUCCCAAGAUUUGGCAACUGUGAAUAAAACUGCUACAAACAUCUGCAUGCAGAUUUUUGUGAGUACAUAAGCUCAGCUUUUUUGAGGAAAUACCAGGAAAUAUGAUUGCUGGAUCCAAUAAUGAGCAUGCUUAGUUUUUUAAAGAAAUUGCCGUAUUGUCUUCCAGAGGGGCUAUAUAUCAUCCUUAUUAGCAAU